AUUGAACGCUGGCGGCAGGCCUAACACAUGCAAGUCGAACGAGUGGCGGACGGGUGAGUAAUGUAUGGGAAACUGCCUGAUGGAGGGGGAUAACUACUGGAACCGGUAGCUACUACCGCAUACCAUCAGAUCUGCCCAGAUGGGCUUAGCUAGUUGGGGGGGUAACGGCUCACCAAGGCGACGAUCCCUAGCUGGUCUGCGAGGAUGACCAGCCCAACUUGAACUGAGACACGGUCCUGACUCCUACGGGAGGCAGCAGUGGGGAAUUGUGCACAAUGGGCGGAAGCCUGAUGCAGCCAUGCCGGGUGUAUGAUGAAGUCCUUCGGGUUGUAAAGUACUUUCAGCGGGGAGGCUGAACCCGCAGAAGAAGCACGGGCUAACACCGUGCAAGCAGCCGCGGUAGAC
rnacentral:rRNA from 1 species